GAUGAACGCUGGCGGCGUGCCUAAUACAUGCAAGUCGAGCGAACGGACGAGAAGCUUGCUUCUCUGAUGUUAGCGGCGGACGGGUGAGUAACACGUGGAUAACCCACCUAUAAGACUGGGAUAACUUCGGGAAACCGGAGCUAAUACCGGAUAAUAUUUUGAACCGCAUGGUUCAAAAGUGAAAGACGGUCUUGCUGUCACUUCUAGAUGGAUCCGCGCUGCAUUAGCUAGUUGGUAAGGUAACGGCUUACCAAGGCAACGAUGCAUAGCCGACCUGAGAGGGUGAUCGGCCACACUGGAACUGAGACACGGUCCAGACUCCUACGGGAGGCAGCAGUAGGGAAUCGUCCGCAAUGGGCGAAAGCCUGACGGAGCAACGCCGCGUGAGUGAUGAAGGUCUUCGGAUCGUAAAACUCUGUUAUUAGGGAAGAACAUAUGUGUAAGUAACUGUGCACAUCUUGACGGUACCUAAUCAGAAAGCCACGGCUAACUACGUG
rnacentral:rRNA from 1 species